UUGCUAAUCUCAAAGCCCAUCACUUAUAGAUUCAUGCAGUCACUCUUAAAUUCUCUGUCAGUAUUUAUUCCUGAAUCCUGCAUAUGUUUUGCACUGCUCUCCUGCAAGCUGGAAGUCCAGUUUGUAUAUGAAGAAACCUGCAAGGUGAAAUUCACAGUAAUUGUACUGGAAAAUCUGUUCUUCAAAGAUUGUAGAGAGAGGGUAGGCGAUCAGGUGCCUAUAUGUGAAGACAAAAGUCUCUGAUACUAACUUACUCCUUUAAUGUGUUUUGUACUUUGUGAGAUUUGUCUGCAGCAUUGCAUUUGCAGUACAUUUGCUUUGAAAAACUCUAUUAAUGUAAUCAACGGAAUCAGAAAUUUCCUUGGGAAUGGCAGCCUUGCCUUUGAAUUUCAUUUUCACUUUUACUUUUUGUUUUUAUUUCAGACAGAGCAAUUGUGCUGCUUUUGAACCUCCCUCAACCUCUGUCUUCAUUAAAGUCAUUUGGUCCCAAGGCUAUUCUGACGGUCCCAGAAAUUGACCUUUCCUCUAGUAUCUUUUAGAGUCUGCCAAACUAUACCUUUUCUCCUCAGUAAGAAAUGGACAUUACACUAAUGAAUAGAAGGUCUCAGCAACAGACAUCUUCCACACCAGACUGAGAAUGAAGUGUGCCUGCUUCUCCAAGCUAUUUGGUGCAAGAGAGGAUCAGAACAGCUGCAGCCAAGGCUUUUGGAUUUACACUGCAUACAGCUGUGAGUUUUUCCUUCAGUUUUAGCACUGGAUAGAUGGAUAUUCAGAAUGGAUGGAAUAUCAGCUAAAGGAAGCAUCAGAAAACUCACCUGUUGAGUCAGUGAAACAGCAUAGCCUCAAACAAAAAUAUCUUCUGUGGCUGGUACAAGGUUUUACAGACUGGUGGUGGCCUGAGAGGAGAAGAUGAAGUGAGGAGAAUGUGUUUGAAGCUAAUGAUGAGCUAAUGAUAUCACAGAUCUGAGUCAAUUAUUAAUACAAAGUUUAUCAGGACACCUGCUGUCACUGCAUGCACUGCCCUGGAGAAGCUCUUGGGCGAGCUCCCUGUGUAAGUGUGAGUAUGAUCUUCUACAACCUAGGUUAAUAUAGACUGAAGCAAUGCAAAAACUGAUGUAGAAUGAAAGGUUGUGGUACAGCUGCUUGGCAAACAAACCUUAGCCAUAGCCAGUAACAGUACAGAGUCACAAAUUAACAAUGAUCUACAUUAAGACUUACUGAUGCAGGCAUAGUACAAGUAUAGAAUUUACAAAUGGAAAGGAGAACGUGGAUUUUAAAACUAAGUAAAACAGAGCUGACAUGGCAUUUUUAUACAUAGAACUAUGAGGAGGUUUUGCUACAAAAGAAGAAAUGAGUGAAGGUCAUUCCAUGGGUUCUGAUGGGUGCUGAUGUAUAUCACUGGUGCUUGGCAUGAAGAGUUUCUUGUAGGCUGGAUUCCAGAUCCCGGCCAGCAGUGCUGUGCUGAAGACAAAUUAGUAUACCCUCAUCAUGCACAUUAAUUUUCAAAAGUCCUUUCUUGGUGUUCUGGAAUAGCAAUUUGGAAAAACCUCUCUAUCCAUUCAAUGCAAUCACAGGCUCCAUAAACAGAAAUUCCUCAAGCACUGAAAUCAAUCUGUCUGUGAUACUCCUCCCCCAUCACAGACAGAGCAGUAAAUUCUUAUUUAAUUCCAGACACUGGCCUUAGAGAACUACUUUUAGCAUCCUUACAAGUUCCAGUGUUCUCAUAUUGCAUACAAGUCAGCAACACCAGAACUUUGCAUUUCCUACCUGACUGUGGAGAAAAAGGAAUUCCUUGUCUAGCUAGUUUCUAUUACAAUUAGGUAAUAGUGUUUGUUUAACUACAGCUGUAGCUGUCUAUGGCCUUUAGCCACAGACCUUACCAGUUCCCUUUUCCUUUCCUUAGGGCCCUUAAGUCUCUUCAUCUUCUCGUGCAUACCCUGAAAGUGGUCAAUAAUUUCGUAGCCUUACAGUUCAGCCUGCCAUAAGCAACUGCCGUAUUGACAGAGACAGAAAAAUUUGCCAGACCAGGCUUAUAGUUCUCGUCCCAUACCUCAGCUGGGAGAUAGACUCAUUUUUUGAUUUAUGAAAGCCUGGACCCUGCUGCUGGUGGGAAUUUAGAAGCUGUGUGCUUAGGAGGGAAAACAGAAGGAAGUUAAAGGACACAAGAUCUCUUAAGAUAGCUCACAAUCCUUUGCUCAUGUUAUGAAAAUCAUACUAUUUUUCUUCACCUUUUCUCUGGACAGAUAGGCACACACAACUCUUAGACAGUCUGAUGGAAAACUCCCAAAUUCUUAAGGCAAUAGGCAAGCUUGUCUUGAGCAGCAUCAGAUUAAUCUGUCCCAAAUAAAAUAGAAAGGAAACCCACGUGUUUUAAAAAGGAAUUUUAGCUGCCAGCCCCCUAAUUAUGUUUACAUGUUUCUCUGCCCAAAACGCAAGUCAUGGUACACUGGUGAAACAGGAAACUUUCACAUUCCAGAGGAUCCAGACAUCACAGAAACCACCGUGAAAAGUUCAUGCUGUCGGUCAGCUCGUCCCAUGUGGCUUCAGCCAGGCACUGUGCGCCUGGGAAUUGGGGAACUUAUGGUCAGAGCAGCGUGGGCAGGCACUGUAGAAAGUGUGGGACUGGGCAGGCAAGAAACAAGGUGGUGUUAAAACCAUUAACUGUCUGAUAUGAACUUGCUCACUGUUAGCUCAGAGCAUUAGUUAAGUAAUUCCCACUUCAGGUGAUUUUCAGUUGUCAGAAAGCUUUUAUUAGAGAUACAGUGCAGUUCUCUGCUUGGCUCAUUUUUCUGACACAGCAACAUUCUUUUCAGAGACUUAAAAAUGACAGAAUUGAAUUCCUAUAUGAUGAACAUAAGCUCUUCAUGGUUAUAAUAUUUAUUUUAUUUUUCAGGCUUAACCACCAUCAUAUUUAGUGUCCAGCCUUCUUAAUUCUAGAAAAUUCAUCAAAUGGAGGGUUUAAACUAGAUAGGAGCCAGAAUCAGAAACCUGGAUCCUCACCAAUACUCUGACCUUGGGCACAUUACAGUGGUUUUCCAAGCGUUUCAGUGGAGCCACUUCUGUAUCCCAGACCAAACCCAAACCAUUGAUCUAGGCACACUGAAACUUUGCAAAGUGAUUCAGUAUCAGAUCUAAAAAACACAGUUUUAGUUUGUAAAGAAUUGAAACCAAGUUUGUAAUUACAAAAUGAUGACUUUAGAUGACUGCAUUUUGAGAUGUUGGAACCCAGAUAAAUUUAAGGAUUGUUAUUUUUUUUAACGUGGGUGCUUGAAACAUUUUGAAUACCUUAGUUUUCUUGGGAAAUUUACACCUUAAAUUCUUAUCACUGUUUAAAAGUCUCUUCCUCCACAGAACUGUUUAAUGGUAGGCAGGACGUACUUGGAAUUGUUUCACAGAGAAUUAAUGAAUUUAAUAACAGGGGAAAAAACAAAACAAAACAAAACAAAAAAAAAAAAACAAAAAAAGAAGCUGAUUCUAUACACAUGAACUCAUCUAGCACAUUUUAAUGUAUUUGAAAACCUAACCCAGUGUGCACAAUUCUAUGUUUCUGCUUCACAACCUUACCAGCAAUACAAUGUGCAUCAGUUACUCAGAGAUGUCAACUAAAAUUUUAUGUUUUAAUAUCUGCUAAAGAAAUCCUAUAAGCACAUUCCAGCACCACAAGAAGCUGAGUCUUUGGCUUGCAGACCAAAUGGUGGCCAGGUAAAAACAAGUUAUUUAAUAUUUUGGGUAAAAAAAGUUAAUUUAGCCCCCCCUACCAUUUAGCAAGCUGAGCAAUGUGAAGUUAAUGUCCCUCUGUAAGGCUCUCUGGUUUAAUGAUACUAUAGCAGUUAAAUGUGGCCAGUGAAAGGUUUUGUUCUGAUUUGCACCUUCUGGAGUACAGCACUGAUGACAAGGAAAUUACCAUUAUGUAAAUGGAAACAGAAGUGAAGCUCAAAGUAAAGUCCAUCUUACAGAUAAACCAGUUUUAUUACUUAUUUAAUAUUGAAUAUGUUAACCAUUACACUUCAAGCUAAAUUUCUCGUCCAUGAAGGUCUGUGAUAGCCUUCAGCAGAGCAGUGUGUACUUAUUCCCAAAAACCCUUAAAAUAACACUAAGACAUUUGCUAUAACACCCUUGUUGUUUACUGGACUUUCUCUGUCAAUAACUGUGCUUUUUGUAUGAACACAAAACAUACGUUUUUCAUUUCCUUAGAAUAGUAAGAAAUCUUUUUACAGAAACUGAUGCCUAAGCAAAUUACAGAUCAGUAAUAUUUCCAUUAAGAGAUCUUACUUUUCCAAUGUUGAGUACUUUGGGUGGUGUGUUAAGAAGUCCAAAGACAUGAAGUGAAAAUUGUUCUUGAGGCCACAGAAGCAUUUUAGAUUUUUCCAGUGAGGCCCAUAUCCAGGUCACUGAAAUAUGUUUAUUUUUUCUUUUUCUAUUCAUAAGUUAUAGGGAUAGGGAAGAGCUACAGAUUUCUUUAUAAAGAAUGCUGUCUAAAUGGGAGAAGAACAAUUUUCACAGGAUUUACAUUUUGCCUUACUGGGGAGAAACUGGCAUACUUAUUCCCCGGGUCGUAAAUGACCUGGCUGAUGUGGUUGCUGAGCCACACUCCAUCAUAUUUGAAAAGUUGUGGCUGUUGGGAGAAGUCAUUGAGGACUUCAAAAAAGAAACAUCACUCCCAUUUACAAGAAAGGGAGGAAGGAGGGCUAGGGAACUACAGGCCAGUGAGUCUUACAUCUGUGCCUGGGAAGAUCAUGGAACAGAUCCUCCUAGAAGACAUGUUAAGGCACAUGAGGGUUGAGCAAGUGAUCCAAGUCAGCCAGCAUGGUUUUACCAAGGGAAGGUCUUGCCUGAUCAGUCCGGUGGCCUUCUAUGAUGGAGUGAUAACAAUGGUAGACAAAGGGAAGGCAACUGAUGUCAUCUACCUGACUUAUGCUAGGCCUUUGACAUGGUCCCCCACCACACCCUUGUCUCUAAAUUGGAAAGAUACAGAUUUGAGGGGUGGAUUAUAUGGUGGAUAAAGAAUUGGUUGGAAAGCCAUAGACAGACAGUUCUGUUGAAUGGCACUAUGUCCAGGCUGAGACUUGGCAACAAGCAGUGUCCCCAGGGGUCUGUCUUGGGACCAGUCCUCUCCAACAUCUUCAUCAAUGACAGAUGAUGGGCUUGAGUGCAUCCUCAGCAAGUUUGCCAAUGACACCAAGCUGAGUGGUCUGUCUGACACAUUAAAAGGAAGCAGUGCCAUCCAGAGGGACCUCAACAAACUCUAAAGGUGGGCCCAUGUGAACAUAUGGUUUUGCAAUUGGGUUGGAGUAACCCCAGGUACAUAUACAGUCUAGGAGAAGAACUCCUUGAGAGUAACCCUGCGGAGAAGGACCUGGAGGUCCUGGUGGAUGAAAAACUGAACAUGAGCCAGCAGUGUACUCUUGCUGCUCUGAAUGGUAUCCUGGGCUGCAUCAGAAGAGGGAUGACCAGCAGGGACGGGGAAGUGACUGUCCCUCUCUUCUUUUACCUCGUGAGGCCCCAUCUGGACUACUGUGUCCAGAUCUGGAGCCCCACGUACAGGAAAGAUAUGGGACUGUUGGAGAGAGUCCAGAGGAGGGCCACAAAGAUGAUCAAAGGGCUGGAGCACCU